rnacentral:rRNA from 1 species
CCUACGGGAGGCAGCAGUGAGGAAUAUUGGUCAAUGGGCGGGAGCCUGAACCAGCCAAGCCGCGUGAGGGAAGAAGGUACAGCGUAUCGUAAACCUCUUUUGUCAGGGAACAAAGGCGGGGACUAGUCCCCGGAUGAGGGUACCUGAAGAAAAAGCAUCGGCUAACUCCGUGCCAGCAGCCGCGGUAAUACGGAGGAUGCGAGCGUUAUCCGGAUUGAUUGGGUUUAAGGGGUGCGCAGGCGGCCUGUUAAGUCAGCGGUAAAAGCCCGGGGCUCAACCCCGGCGAGCCGUUGAAACUGGCGGGCUGGAGUUGGAGAGAAGUACGCGGAAGGCGCGGUGUAGCGGUGAAAUGCUUAGAUAUCGCGCAGAACCCCGAUUGCGAAGGCAGCGUACCGGCUCCACACUGACGCUGAGGCACGAAAGCGUGGGUAUCGAACAGGAUUAGAUACCCCAGUAGUC